UGUAGGGGAGUGUAAUUUCUGCACGUAAGUUUUUGGUACUUAAAGUAAACGUAGUUUUUCUACAA
rnacentral:tRNA from 1 species